rnacentral:sRNA from 2 species
AUAUCAAAAAAGCUGAAUUCCUGUGUAAAGAGCACAGGAUAGGGGGGACCCACUUUUUCGGGGUGAAUCAAGGCAUCUUGCCUUGUAGGGCAAAUAUCCCUUUCUGCCCGAACCCGUCAGCUAACCCCCGAAGCUUUGAAAGGGAGGUUUG